rnacentral:lncRNA from 1 species
GUCUUUUGGAUAAAAGCCAUUUUAACUGGGGUGAGAUGAAAUCUCAUUGUAGGUUUGAUUUGCAUUUCUCUGAUGAUCAUUGAUGUUGAGUACUUUCCUUUCUUUCUUUUUUUCUUUUUUAUUACAUCACAGUUCUGUAGCUCAGAGUUAAAGAAGGCUUGCCUGGGUUCUCUGCUUAAGGUCCCACAAGGCUGAAGUCAAGAUGUCAGACAAGGUAGGCUCUUAUCUGGAGGCUCUGGGGAUGAAUCCAGUUCCAUGCCCAUUCAGAUUUGGGACAGAUUUUGAUUCCCAUAUCCUUCCUAGUUGUCAGCUGAGAACUGUUUUCAGCUUCUAAAGGUUACUCAUAUUCUUCUCAAAUUCCCGUCUUCCAUUUUUGAGCCAACA